CCUCAAUACUCCACCGUCUCUUCCUCUUCUUACUAGAAAAACAUGCCAAGCAAACUUGCCGUACAGAAUCUCGAAUAUCUCUCCUUUUUCAUGUGAAACAAAUCCAUUGUCUAUCUCAAACAGGAUCAAGCAAGUUGGGUUAUGGAUCCGGUGUGCUAUUGUCCACAGCUAGAUCAGAAUCUCUACCGUCCCUCUCUUUUUCCAUGUGAAACAAAUCCAUGUCUCUCUCAAAUACGAUCGAGCAAGAUGUGGUAUGGAUCCUGUGCUAUUUUCUACAUAUAGAUCAGGAUAUAUUCUUUCUAUUUAACAGUGAUGGAUUAGGAUUACUAAUGAAAGGAUCUCUUCCCAUGAUCUCCUUACUAUUCACUGAUAUAGCUAAAGAUAUAUUCCAAUGUUUCCGCAAAAGGAUCAGCCACUCAGACAGGCACAUAUGUUGAUUCGAAUCAUUGAAUAUUCUACUUCCAUACUGUAUCAUAGUCCGACAAGACAUAUUGCUCUUGGAAUAACUAAUAAUAUUCUAUUUUCAAGAAUUUUUUCAUACAUAGAUGACAGUGUAGUGAUUAUGUAAUUUUAUUUCUUAUCUAGAGAGAUAAAAUUGGAGUAAUAUGUACUUCCUAUUACAUAUUCUAUUAUCUGUUUUUUUAUAUUUAAAUUAUGAUAAGUGGUGGAUAUUAAACUUAUAUGCUAAUAAGACAAGAUGGAACUGCACCAAUAUAAAUUGUGGCACUUAUCGAUUCCCCUGCUACUGGCAAAGGAAUUAUAUUCCUUAAAACAAUAUCUCAUAUUAUAUAUAAUUAAAAAUAGUAGAUUACAUUAAAAUAGUAACUUACUCCCUUCGUCCCGCAAUAUAAGACGUUUUUGCGAUCUAAAACAUCUUAUAUUGUGGGACGGAGGGAGUACAAAAGUAGGCCGUGCAUUCGCAUGGGUCAACGACUAGUACAAGUAAUUGAUGUGCUUUCCAUUGAACGAGACGGGUUCAUUUCUGAUGUCCGGA